rnacentral:ncRNA from 1 species
CUCUAUUAUUGGUGGACUAGCAAUAAAGUACUUUGCAAGUACAUGCAACACUUCAAACUUCUAUGUAAUUAGUGCAUUAUUGUUCAACCCCAUGAAUAAUAUAUA